rnacentral:rRNA from 1 species
AGAGUUUGAUCCUGGCUCAGGACGAACGCUGGCGGCGUGCCUAACACAUGCAAGUCGAACGGAGAUAUGCGAACGAGGCCUUCGGGCGGAGAUUGCAUAUUUUAGUGGCGGACGGGCGAGUAACGCGUGAGCAACCUGCCCUUCAGAGGGGGAUAACGGCUGGAAACGGCCGCUAAUACCGCAUGACAUAUACACAAGGCAUCUUGAGUAUAUCAAAGGAGGAAUCCGCUGAAGGAUGGGCUCGCGUCCGAUUAGCUGGUUGGUGAGGUAACGGCUCACCAAGGCGACGAUCGGUAGCCGAACUGAGAGGUUGAUCGGCCGCAUUGGGACUGAGACACGGCCCAGACUCCUACGGGAGGCAGCAGUGGGGGAUAUUGCACAAUGGAGGAAACUCUGAUGCAGCGACGCCGCGUGGGGGAAGAAGGUCUUCGGAUUGUAAACCUCAGUAGUCAGGGAAGAAGCAAGUGACGGUACCUGAAGAGUAAGCUCCGGCUAACUACGUGCCAGCAGCCGCGGUAAUACGUAGGGAGCGAGCGUUGUCCGGAAUUACUGGGUGUAAAGGGUGCGUAGGCGGGUCAGCAAGUCAGGCGUGAAAUACCGGGGCUCAACUCCGGGGCUGCGCUUGAAACUGUUGGUCUUGAGUGAAGUAGAGGCAGGCGGAAUUCCUAGUGUAGCGGUGAAAUGCGUAGAUAUUAGGAGGAACACCAGUGGCGAAGGCGGCCUGCUGGGCUUUAACUGACGCUGAUGCACGAAAGCAUGGGGAGCAAACAGGAUUAGAUACCCUGGUAGUCCAUGCCGUAAACGAUGAUAGCUAGGUGUGGGGGGUUAUAUGCCGUCCGUGCCGGAGUUAACACAAUAAGCUAUCCACCUGGGGAGUACGGCCGCAAGGCUAAAACUCAAAUGAAUUGACGG